rnacentral:rRNA from 1 species
GCUGGCAGCUAGCUUUCUGCAAGUCGCUCACUGAAGCUAAGCAGGGCUGAGCCUGGUCAGUACCUGGAUGGGAGACCACAUGGGAAAGUUAGGUUGCUGCCGGAA